UCCUUCGGGCUCUAUGUGAACCUCCAAGGCCAACUGGCGAAUGCUCGCGAGCAUUCCCGUUUGUAAAAUGUCUGGAACAACUCGCAAAUUUCCAUCCUCCAGAUCAUACUUGAGUUUUGAAGCCCAAUCCGUAGUUGUAAACGUGAAUUUUAUCAGAUCGGUUAUACCUAAGCCCUGCCAUAGGAUCGAAUGCAUAUACUUGACAUCCAUAGCGGGCCAUUUCUUCGUCAAACGUCCAUUCGUGAUUGACGCCGAAUGAGUAAACAAGACAGUUCCCCGGCUCCAGACCGACAUCCGGAUCUAAACACACAGAUUUCCUGCCGUCGACAUUGCCACCGAAAUCGCGUUCUAAUUUGCAGCUGGAUGCAUUAUUAGUCCAUUGGAUGUAUUUUAGCAUUUCGUGAUGUUUCAAAGUUGCAACGUCAGUGUCGUUCCAAUCCAUUGUUGGUGACCGUGACAAGUAAAGGAUGAAGCAACCGAAACUAGCGACGAAUGCCCAACAGAACACAAAAGACACGGUUUUCAUUGUUGAUUUGACUGUUUUAAUGAUUAAAGCUCAUUGUGAUAAAACACAAUCACUUUUAAGUAUCGUCAAGUGGCAAGGAAAACUGAAAAACCCCAACCUCAUGAGCCUUCUCUUUGCGGGCGUCAGCUUUUGAAGAGACUCACGUCUAAGUAGCCAAAAGGCAUUACCUGUCAGUUUGAUGGAUUACUUUCAUCAUUGAAGACAAUCCCAUUUUUCCCAAAUCCCAACGGCAAUGAGACGACUGAUGAAUAAUGAAAAACAGGCGCUGUGCAGUGGAUGUUGGAUCGCAUGUUUCUUCUAUUUACCGGUAGAGGGCGAAGCGGUAGAAUCUAAUCGAUCGUCAUUUGUUCACCCUUCUUCACCCCGUAGCACAUGUGCUAGACAUUUUCGUGGAAAACCAAGUAGGUGAUUAUACGAUCUUUAGUCUUCGUCUGGUUAGUGACGUAAAGUACUACUACGUAAAGUGAUGUGAAACAAAACUAUUCAUUUGUUACGUCUAAUUUAGGCACAAUAGUUCGAUGAUAUGCAUUUGGAAUGGAGGGCUAUGUGGCUACAUACAAAUUACUAAUUAAUACCGGUUAAUCGCUGUUGUGAAAAAAAAAGCAAAUCCGUGCUUGAGAAAAGGUUGAGGGACAACCUACAGAAUAUACCCGUUUGGAUGACAACCUCGGGUUGGAUGACUGUGUUCCCGUGGCAUACGAAGCGAUGUCGUUGCUUGACGCCCUCGCCGUAUUCUUAAGUAGAACAUGUUGAAUCUGAA